UAGCUCUGAUUUCUCAUGAGUUGUGCAUAAAUCUUUUACCUUUUACUAAAGUUUUUUGUGGAGAGGAACAUCACUGAGUUUGAUGUAUUUUUGUGAGCUGUGUCUGCUUCAACGUU